rnacentral:rRNA from 1 species
UACGUAGGGUGCGAGCGUUAAUCGGAAUUACUGGGCGUAAAGCGUGCGCAGGCGGUUUUGUAAGUCUGACGUGAAAUCCCCGGGCUUAACCUGGGAAUUGCGUUGGAGACUGCAAGGCUGGAGUCUGGCAGAGGGGGGUAGAAUUCCACGUGUAGCAGUGAAAUGCGUAGAGAUGUGGAGGAAUACCGAUGGCGAAGGCAGCCCCCUGGGAUAACACUGACGCUCAUGCACGAAAGGCGUGGGGAGCAAACAGG